CCUACGGGGGCAGCAGUGAGGAAUAUUGGUCAAUGGACGAGAGUCUGAACCAGCCAAGUAGCGUGAAGGAUGACUGCCCUAUGGGUUGUAAACUUCUUUUAUAAAGGAAUAAAACGAGGCACGUGUGCCUUUUUGCAUGUACUUUAUGAAUAAGGAUCGGCUAACUCCGUGCCAGCAGCCGCGGUAAUACGGAGGAUCCGAGCGUUAUCCGGAUUUAUUGGGUUUAAAGGGAGCGUAGAUGGGGUGUUAAGUCAGUUGUGAAAGUGUGCGGCUCAACCGUAAAAUUGCAAUUGAUACUGGCAGUCUUGAGUACAGUUGAGGUAGGCGGAAUUCGUGGUGUAGCGGUGAAAUGCUUAGAUAUCACGAAGAACCCCGAUUGCGAAGGCAGCUUACUAAACUGUGACUGACAUUGAUGCUCGAAAGUGUGGGUAUCAAACAGGAUUAGAUACCCUAGUAGUC
rnacentral:rRNA from 1 species